GUGGGGAAUCUUCCGCAAUGGACGAAAGUCUGACGGAGCGACGCCGCGUGAGUGAAGAAGGCCUUCGGGUCGUAAAGCUCUGUCAUCAGGGACGAACGGCCGGUGGAGUGGAAAGCCACCGGAUUGACGGUACCUGAGAAGGAAGCCACGGCUAACUACGUGCCAGCAGCCGCGGUAAUACGUAGGUGGCAAGCGUUGUCCGGAAUUAUUGGGCGUAAAGCGCGCGCAGGUGGGAUCUUAAGUCCAUUGUUAAAGUUCGGAGCUCAACUCCGUGAUGGGAUGGAAACUGGGAUUCUUGAGUACCGGAGAGGAAAGCGGAAUUCCCCGUGUAGCGGUGAAAUGCGUAGAUAUGGGGAGGAACACCAGUGGCGAAGGCGGCUUUCUGGACGGUGUCUGACACUGAGGCGCGAAAGCCAGGGGAGCGAACGGGAUUAGAUACCCCGGUAGUCC
rnacentral:rRNA from 1 species